GGGGGGAGUAACAUCCGGAAACGGGUGCUAAUACCGCAUAGUUUUCUUGAUCGCAUGAUUGAGAAAGGAAAGACGGCCUUUGUGCUGUCGCUUAUGGAUGGACCCGCGGCGUAUUAGUUAGUUGGUGAGGUAACGGCUCACCAAGACGAUGAUACGUAGCCGACCUGAGAGGGUGAUCGGCCACAUUGGGACUGAGACACGGCCCAAACUCCUACGGGAGGCAGCAGUAGGGAAUCUUCCGCAAUGGACGAAAGUCUGACGGAGCAACGCCGCGUGAGUGAAGAAAAGGGUUUUCGGAUCGUAAAACUCUGUUGUCAGAGAAGAACAAGUUGGAGAGUAACUGCUCCAGCCUUGACGGUAUCUGACCAGAAAGCCACGGCUAACUACGUGCCAGCCGCCGC
rnacentral:rRNA from 1 species